AGACAUCGUACUAAAAACGACAACCAGUGCGAAAUUAAAGAUCAGUACUAACACGUUUUGGCUCGACCACUUUGAUGCCACAAAAGCUAAAAGAGAAGAUACCACGGCAAAACCAGCAACAUUUGUGAUGGAAAACGUGCAGAUAACAUCAACGGCUGCUACGACAGUUCAAGCUAGUCCUAGGAUGCCAACGGACGCACCCACAGUAAGGACAGCAUUAAAUGG